GAUGAAGAACGUAGCGAAAUGCGAUAAGUAAUGUGAAUUGCAGAAUUCAGUGAAUCAUCGAAUCUUUGAACGCACAUUGCGCUCCUUGGUAUUCCGGGGGGCAUGCCUGUUCGAGCGUCAUUACAACCCUCAAGCUCUGCUUGGUCUUGGGCGUCACCGGUCCCCGGUGUGCCUUAAAAUCAGUGGCGGCGCCAUCUGGCUCUAAGCGUAGUACAUACUCUCGCUACAGACGUCCGGUGGAUGCUGGCCAGCAACCCCCAAUUUAUCAAGGUUGACCUCGGAUCAGGUAGGGAUACCCGCUGAACUUAAGCAUAUCAAUAAGCGGAGGA
rnacentral:misc_RNA from 1 species